CCUGUGUCCCCACCCGUCGAAGACCCAUCCAAAAUUACUCUUCUAUUUCGCCCGCAAAGGGGCACCACUAAAAGCCACCGCCCACCCUGACAUUUUUUCGCCAGAUUCAAUCUGUUCUCCUAUCCCACGAUUGCAGUGAUCAGGGCCGGGAGAUUGGGGAUCGCCGGCUGGGUGUCCCGCCGGUUCGAGCUCGGAUCCACAGCAUCAACCAGCCCCGCGAGCACUCCUCUCUAUUCUCCCCCUGAUUUGCAGCGACGGGCGACGGCGGAUUGAAGGAGGCCGCCCCACCAGCGGAGCUCGGAUCCACCGCAUCAACCCGCGCGCGAGCCUUUCCCCACCGAUUACAGCGACCGACGAUGGCUCUUAGAUCACCAGGAUACAACGAAGGGAUUUGCGGGAGAAAAGCACCGAGGCGAGGUUGACGAAAGAGAGAAGCUUCAGUUGCUAAAAUAAUGCCAACACUUCCGGAGAGUGAGAGGGAAACAAGGGCAUAUCUUGCGGAAAGGAAAAGCAAGAGUGAGGCAUAUUUGAAGGAGGUGUCGGUGAUCGCAGUGUCUCAGAGUAUGAACCAAAUGUUGAAGAGGAGGCCCAUUUUGCAGAAGAAGCUUUGAGAGAUGAAGACGAAGCCGCUCUUGCCAUGUCCAAAGAAAUGGUAAUAUAUUGUGUGGACUUGCUUCUUAAAUAAUGUGUACAUCAAUGUGGACUCACCGGCUUUAAUUCUAUCUUGCUCGUAUCAUGUGUAUGUCACUCUGCACCACAUCACCUUCCUUUCUAGCAUGGGUUAUGCAUCAAGAUCCGGGUGAUCUGGGACCUCUACUUCAUCAGCAUAGAUCUGAGAAGAAAGAAUUGAACAGAAGGAUAGAGAUGCGAGAGAUGCAAGUGACAGGCAUUGAGAGGAGUUAGCCGCGAGGCUUGAAGCACAAGUGACAAGACACCACGUGAUGAUUGGGUAUGAUAAGCUCUACGUUCACAUACAACGGGUGCAAGCCAGUUUCACACACGCAGAAUACUUGAGUUAAACUUGACGAGCCUAACAUAUGCAGAUAUGGCCUCAGAACACUGAGACCGAAAGGUUGAGCGUGAAUCAUAUAGUAGAUAUGAUCAAUAUAGUGAUGUUCACCAUUGAAAACUAUUUCAUCUCAUGUGAUGAUCGG